UACUUAUUAAAUAUUCUCAAUCUUUAUACUAGACAACGAUCACGUUAAAACUAUGUUUUUCAAAAUUUUGGCCAAGUUGGCACAUUAUAACGCCAUCUAUCGGGAUUUUCUGUAUCCAUUUAUUAUUUCUUCUAAGGUUCCGCUUGUUUAGAUAACCUAAAAACAAAGAAGCCUUUAUGGUUGAUGUCAUUGUCUGAAUAGCAGUUAACGCAUUAAUUAAUCCAGUACUUAUAUUGACAAUAUUUUUUCGUUUCACCAUAAAAUUAUACUGGAGUAUCAUUGUUGUUAUAUUAUAUCGUCUCAUCUUUAUGAGAUACUAUUUUUUGUCGUUAAAUAGUGUCACAGUCGAUUACAAAGACUCAAUAUGGUACUUUUCCGCGCCCCCGUGAUAACGAGUGUUCAACUGAUCGUGACUACUAGUGCUCUCCAGCGGGACAGAAUCACGACCGUGACCUUGAACCGAGCCCUUAAGAGAAAUCAGCACGAGAAUCUGGUGGCAUACGGCAGAGUAUGUUGCAGCAGCUCAGACAACAUGUGAAAUUCUUCAUCUUGAUGGUCUACUGAAAAACAUCCCAUCUAGUGACUCUGUGCCUGUGUUAUAUUGUGAUAAUCAAAGUGCUAUGAUAAACAAUCAUGAAUACUAUAAAAGGUCGAAACACAUUGACAUGACGUCAGCCGGGGCUUCGCCCCAUGAGCCUGAUCAUCCUCCGUUCCCUUCCCACACCUUUUCUACCCGGCAUUUUUACCAUGACGUACAUAGUUGUGUGAGUAUUUGAAUUGCGCGCCACGAACUACCACAAGAGGGCGCUUAGCUACAGUGCGCCGUACCCCUAUAUGUAUUUAAAGUAAUAUUGUAAACCUUUUCUUUUCACCCCUGAACAGUGUCACGACAGGUCAGCCGAGUGAGUGUCUUUUGUUUUCUCAAUUAAGUAAUUUUUAAUAAAGUAAGUGCAAGCACGGCCAGUGACGGCUCCCUAGCGGGCGACGGCGGAACUAGUAUAUAACUAUAUUUAAACUAAUUUCAUGCACAAGUAAUUAUUACAGACAGUCUGGUCGUGGGAAUGUGUAUAUUAAUUUUAUAAAAGGUUCAUGUUAUUCUCUGUAAUAACCCGGGGCACGCAGUCUUAAAAGUGUUAACGGUAAUUGUGUUUGGCGCGAAGGACGCCAUGUUUCCUGCCGUGAGCCUUGUCUCGCCUCAGUCUCCUCCUUCAGCCGGCCGAGAGCGGACGUCUCUGCAGACACCCCGAGGACAUCACCAUUGUAUCACCGAUAAGUAGCUCUGUUAACCUAAUUAAUUAAAACCGCUUUCUUUUUCAUCCUCGGGGCCUCUCUCGGUCGGUGGGGGCUGAUUCGUAAUUAAUUCUUUUACUCUCGGGAGUUUUUACCAUCCUCUUUCUACGUAAAGGCUUGGGGUGGCCACGUGUGUGGUCCGCUUCCUCAACUUAUACAGAUUCUUGCCUCGGGCAUUUUAACCGUGUCAAGGGAGGAGUGUAGAAAGGCGUGUAAAGUAUUAAUAAAACCAACUUAAACGAGUCACGUGUCUUUUGUGUUUGGGGGCCAUGUGGGUCCUUACUGCAGCCAGCGGUGUGUGGGAUGCCCUAAGAGCCCACUGCGGUUAGGUAUAAGCGUGCCCGAUGCUGAAAGCGGGCUCAGUUUAGGAACAGGUGUUAACAUCGAGAUCAGGAGGGCUAAUAUCUCGCCUCACAUGGGCCACGUAACGCCCUGAAUAAGAGUCUCUAGCCGGGUCCACGUGCCCACUCACGUGUCGGCGCCCACUAUUUCAACUAGUUCAAAACGUAACACCGGUAGGCCCUCAGACAUUAGAGUAAAUUUUAUUAAAGAUGUUGAGUCAAAGAAUCAACUUGUUGUGGAGUGUGAGAGAUCGGAGGAUAAUGUCGCAGAUAAGUUCACAAAGGCAUUGUCUGUACAAAAAUUGAUAAUGUUUAGAAAUAUGCUAUCUGUUGUGCCUAUUGAUUGAAAGUUGUUCUGUACUUCCUUCAUGUUUACUUAGGGGCAAAUUAAAGUUAUCUAAAAUGAAAAAAAAAAA